AGGAACCAGACCUCGCGCGGAAAGCGCAACGCGAAGCGGUACAGCUGCUUCGCGACGCGUGCGGCGUGGCUCUGCUGGAUGAACACGUAGCCGAGGCCCGUCGUCACCGCGAUCGACGGCACGCGCGCGAGCCACGCGGCGAUCGAGCCGUAGAUGUUCGGCUUGAUCGUGUAAUGGAACACGAGGUCGGGCCGGAUCGCGCGGUAGUGCCGAUACAGCGCGAUGAGCGUGCGCAGGUCCUCGCGCGGGCUCGUGCCUUUCGAGGCGACGGGCAGCUCCGCGUAGCGGCAGCCCAUGCGCACGAGCGGCUCGACGGUGCGGUCGCGCGGCGCGAGCACGGUCACCUGCGCGCCGCGCGCGAUCAGCAUGCGAAGUAGGCCUUGCCGGUACGUAUAGAUCGCCCAGGCGGUAUUGCAGACGAGAACGAUGCGCGGGGCGGAAGCGGAACUCAUGUCGGACUGGAAAAAAAUCAUCGGAUGCGCGCGAACGUGACGGGGCGCGUCAUGCCGCGCCGCGCCGCGCGAACAGCAGGCGCUUCGCGCGCUGCAGCGUCGAGUACGGCGUGACGAAAUGCAGCAGGUUUUUCGCGACGCCGAGCCAAUCGCACGGAUUGAGCGGAUCGAAGUAGUGCAGCGCGAGCGCGAGCGUCGACGCGAUCUGCCGCCGCCGCUUCGUCGCGCUGAUGCCGCCCUCGUUCAAUUCGUAAUACAAGCCGAGCUCCGGCAGGUUCGCGCAAUCGUAGCGUUCCAUUAACCGUAAAAAAAGAUCGAGGUCUUCCGCCGCGCGAUAUUUGAUCCGAUAGUUGCCGACUUCCUUCACCGCCGCGAUGUCGAGCAUCAUCGAAGGAUGAACGAACGGCGAGCGCAGGAAGCGCGUGCGGCGCAGCGUCGCCGGAUCGGCGCUCGGCGUCAGCAUGAAGAGCGGCCGGCCGUCGCGCGAGACGACCUGCGUCCACGUGCCGAGGCCCGCGACGCUCGGGUGCGUGUCGAAGUACGCACGCUGCUUCGCGAGCCGGCCGGGCGCGGCGAGGUCGCCCGCGUCGAUGCGCGCCGCGUAGCGCACGCCGCGCGCGGCGAGCGCGUCGAUGCCGGCCGCGAGCGCGCGCUCGAUCCCGCCGUUUUGCGGCAUUCGCAGCACCUCGACCGACAGCCCGGGCAAUUCGGGCGCGGCGAUGGGCGGCGUGCUGCCGUCGUCGACGACGAGCACGCGCACCGGCGCGUCCUCGCGCAGCGACAUCAGCGUGCGCAGCAGAUCGUCGUGCGCGUUGUAGGCGGGGAUCAGCACGGCGACGUCGUCGAGCGCGCGGGC
rnacentral:rRNA from 1 species